rnacentral:rRNA from 1 species
GACGAACGCUGGCGGCGUGCUUAACACAUGCAAGUCGAACGGGUCUGCCCUGUUUUUUGCGGGGUGGGUCAGUGGCGAACGGGUGAGUAACACGUGAGUAACCUGCCCCUCACUUCUGGUUAACCGCUUGAAAGGGUGGCUAAUACGGGGUGUUCUGGCUGUGCCGCAUGGUGUGGCUGGGAAAGAUUCACUUUUGUGGUGUUUUGGUGGGGGAUGGGCUCGCGGCCUGUCAGCUUGUUGGUGGGGUGAUGGCCUGCCAAGGCUUUGACGGGUAGCCGGCCUGAGAGGGUGGGCGGUCACACUGGGACUGAGAUACGGCCCAGACUCCUGCGGGAGGCAGCAGUGGGGGGUAUUGCACAAUGGGCGGAAGCCUGAUGCAGCGACGUCGCGUGAGGGAUGGAGGCCUUCGGGUUGUGAACCUCUUUCGCCGGUGAAGAAGGUCCUGCUCUUUGUGGUGGGGUUGACGGUAGCCGGGUUAUGAAGCGCCGGCUAACUACGUG